GAGACACCCUUAUGGGGCAAGACUUGCUUCAGUGGGGCUUUGGUGCUCCCUGAGUCUGCCCCCUGAGUGUGUCCCU
rfam:Myotis lucifugus cont2.48900, whole genome shotgun sequence.